rnacentral:lncRNA from 1 species
AUCUUUAGGGCACCGUCAAUCCCUUAGUUGAACCUAUCUCCUAAAGUCUUUAUUUAGUUUUUUCUUGAUUUGAUCUCAUUCGAUUUAACUGAUUAUCAUACCCUCAAUUGAUUGAUUCUUGAUCCAUCAAGUGAUUCAUUUAUCUUAUAUACUUUUUAUGUCCAUAUCACUUUUAUAAUUAUUUUUUUGCAAUGAAUGAAAUUUGAUCCUAUAUGAAAAAUUUAGUAUGUUUAUUGCUUACACUUGUGCAUUUGAUUGUGUUUAUUUUUUUAAUUAAAUAUCUGCUUUAUUUAUAAAUGUAAAGGGGAGAAAACGUAAAGCUUAUUUACUUAAAAUUAACUAAGGAUGCAUAAUUUGAAAGAGAAAAGGA